rnacentral:rRNA from 1 species
CAGCCGCCGCGGUAAUACAGAGGGUGCGAGCGUUAAUCGGAUUUACUGGGCGUAAAGCGUGCGUAGGCGGCUAAUUGAGUCGGAUGUGAAAUCCCCGAGCUUAACUUGGGAAUUGCAUUCGAUACUGGUUAGCUAGAGUGUGGGAGAGGAUGGUAGAAUUCCAGGUGUAGCGGUGAAAUGCGUAGAGAUCUGGAGGAAUACCGAUGGCGAAGGCAGCCAUCUGGCCUAAUACUGACGCUGAGGUACGAAAGCAUGGGGAGCAAACAGGAUUAGAUACCCCUGUAGUCCCUGUCUCUUAUAC